AAUCUGAAUUUGCUAUCCAGAAUUAGAAAUAUUUCUAAAGAUGAUAGUUGCAUGAUAUAUUUUAUAUUAGCAUUGGAAUAUUUGAGAGAGCCUUCUUCAGUGGACUCCUGGUUCUUAGUCACAGAAAGGACUGAGUAAUGUUACCUAACUUGCAUUAAAUAUGAAUGUCACUUCAAAAUAUUUUCAUUUAUGAUUCCAGUGUAGUUAACCUACCAUGUUCUAUUUCACGUGUACGACACAGUGAUCUAACAAUGCUGUACAUUUCUCCGUGCUCAUCAAGAGCCUCCAUAUAGGCUGCCUCAGUCUCCAUUGCCACCUGCAGUGCAAGAGGGUUCCCUCUCUGCCCUCACCAACACUUACCGUUUUGUAUUUUAACCAUUCGAACAGGUGUGAGGGCGCGGACUCCGUUUCCUCUCACCGCCUGGCUCUGCCUGAGCUGAGCCUGCUGACUUUUAAAAUUCUACUGAUGGUGUUAAUUCCACUGAUGGACUGUCUCCAGUCUCCAGAAAUAUUCAGUGCAGAAAGGGCACAUCCUUGAUUCUGAGUUUCCAUACUCUUGUGCUGUGCAACCCAAUCUGGACUCCUUCCCAGAGCAAGGAGAGGGUUUUGUUGUGGGAUAUUGAGACCAGCUGCCGUGUGGGAGCAUGAAUUACCUGUGAAGAGCUUCCAGAAGGACUCGGACUGCGGGUCUGAACAAGAGAUCCCUCCCAGUGGAUUUGUAAAAGCUUUAAUGGCUUUCCUAAAGUCAGACUGUUUCUUGAGGCUGUGCCAUCCUUCAGCGAAUGCCCGGGAUGGGUGAGAUGUUACAUAAAAGGAUUCACGUUACACUGAGAGGAUUGUGAUCAGACCUUCAGAAAACCACCUGUGUUCCUGGGACGGCAGACCGGAUGCUACCUGUGGCACAUCUGUGGGCAAAAGUGUCCUGUGUCCUGUGACCAGUUGAGACUGGCUCUGGGAAAAAUACUGUUUUUCAUCUCACCAAACCUCAAGGAGCAAUAAAGAACGAUUUCAGAACCACAUGUGUGGGAGUGUGUGGACGCUGGGCCACGUUUGUCGCAUCUCAGGUCCUGAUCUCACACUUCACGAGUUUGAGCCCUGCAUUGGUGUCUGUGCUGACAGCUCGGAGCCUGCUUAGGAUUCUCUUUCCCUCAGCCACUCCCCCUUUCUCUCUCAAAAAAAAAAUGCAAAGUGAGUUUUAAUCCAUAAAAAUAUUGGAUGAAAACUUUUCGGAUUGGAAAUCACAAGACCUUUAAAAGGCAGCAUGGGAUUAAUUGGUCUAAAGCUGGCAGGAAUGUAAGGACCUUAAGAGUGAGUUCAGGGCACAGGAGGAGAGAAUCCCAGCAGGCUCUGUGCUUAGUGCAGAGACUGACAUGACCCUGGGAUCAUGACAGAUAUCAAGAGUUGGAAGUUCAGCCAGCUGAGCCACCCAAGCAUCCCUGGAUUUUCUGCUUAAAUCUAAGAGAGGAGCGCAAAAACGUUUCCUCCUGGUGCUGCAUCGUUUCUUGAGGUCCUGGAACCAGUGUUGACGCGGCUGAUUUUACUUGGCCGUCAAGGACAGCCUUGUCCCCUUCGUGGAGUGUGAGUAGUCCGAGUGGUCUCCCAAACGCCCCACAGGCGCUAACUUCUCGUUGCGGUGCAGCAAGAGAGCCAUAAUCAUCCUCUGGCUCACAGAUGAGGACACUGAGGUACAGCAUGGUUAAAUACUUCACAAGGCCAUCCGGCUAGACUAUGAGGAUGCUCGCACUUCCAUCCAGGUGGCCAUGGCUUAUUCCCUGCCCCCACCCGAUAGAAAUUUCCUGUACUCAACCACGAGUUAAAACCUGCUGCUUCGGGUGACUGUAAAUUUUCCACUUCUAUCUUCAACUUCUCAGUGCUGAAGCUAUCCAUAGAAAAUCUAGUUGUCAGAAGACCUCCAACCUUGACAAGCGUAUUGUUUGAAGUCUGCCGGGCUCCAGUCUGCGACCCUGGCAAAGCCUUAGCCGGUGUGUUCGCUUGUCUGUUAUGUGAGCUGUCACCUGCCCUCCAUCACACCACCUUCUGCUCAUUCAACAUGUCGGUGUUAACACCCAUUCUGUGCUUAGAAAAGAAGGAAACCAUGGCCGGCAAGGUGAGGUGUUGCUCAUGGCUUCGUGGAACUUAAAAUCUGGGGGGAGAAAGACCAAAUGAGACCUCCAUUUCCUAGAGCGUAGAAGAAAUGUCAUGACUAUGUAGGCAAUGUGUGUGUGCACCUGGGAGAGGUUUACAUAGGACACUUGCACAUGUGAAUGUACAGCUUCCUAUUUGUUGGUGGUAGACUGAAUAACCAGUAACUCAGAUUUGAAGACGACUUACAGACCCCUUCCUAUUAACAUGGAUGUAAAAUUCUUAAUUCAGUGGUUACAAAUUUGGUCUUGUAGCACAUUUUAAAACGAUAUCUAGGAGAGAGGAGGAUGGGAUCAUGCCUUAAUACUACAAAUCUUACAAAUAAGUUAAAUAGAAAAACAUCACCUGAAUCCAUUUAUAAAACACCUGAAAAAAAUUCUAGAAUUUCAAAUAUGUAGGAGUAACUAAUCUAAAAUCCUAAGAAUUUUUAAAGCCACUUAAUUCAACUGUUCCUAAAACUGUAGAUUUAAUUUCUUUGCCUUCUGGUGUAGAUGCUCAAAAUCUUACUGAAGAAAAUGUAUGCUAAAAGUCAUUAUGCAGAUUUCUUCAAAAAUCUUUUCAGGGAUUUCUUUUUGAGGAAAUAUGGACACUAUGCAUUUUAGAUCCUCCACACGUUUUCUAAUUCUCAUUUAAACUACAUGUUUGUACAAUUACGAAAGUAAAAUUUCACUUGGGUGAGUAUAUAUCUGAGUAUGUGUGAAAACACACACCUUUGACUAUCUCCCAGCAGCUACCUGCCUGUGUAAGAUAUUAAAACAUGUUCUCUUAUAAUCCAGAAGAGCACACAGGUAAUAAGACAGUAACGUUUACCUUGAACAAGGCGAACAGGAGUGGAGAAGGCACUUUACCUGGUGUUCUGUUUUGCCCACAAUAUAAAUCAGAGCUGUGCUUCUAAAAUCAGCUUCUGAGAACUAUUCCCACAAGUCAGCAAUAAACAUAAUGAAAAGAUGCUUAAAAUGAGAAAUCCCACAAUUCAACAGUUUAAAAGCACAUUUACCAAAAAAAAAAAAAAAAAAAAAAAAAAAAAAAAGUCCUCUUUCACCAGAUAAGGAGAAAACCAUGGCUUGUGGUACCUAAACCCUUGCUCUUCAAUCUGGGGCUCGUUGGAAGCGAUCCAUAGAGAACUUUCUGGCCAGCGUCUGUUACAGAGCAUUGUGGUUUUACAGACAUCAGUUGUAUGACUUUGCCAUUUGUCUUGUGACUGUAGGCGUGCUUUGAGGAGGAGGGUGUGAGAAAAACUUUUUCCUUUGUGUGUUGUUGGCUGCCCCCUGCUUCAAAACUAAAAGGACCUUGUUGGGAACUUCUGGCAAACUAGACAGGGUUCAGAUCUCAGCACAGGAGUGAAAGCCAUUCAAGAUGUCCUGACUCCCACGUGAGACCUCCUCCAUCCACUUCACCAAAGAGCAGUAGUGGAUGAAAAUAUCUUCAGCCUGUCUAUCUGAUGCAACCCUCUCAGUAUCUGAAAUGUGUAGGGAACUCCUACAACACAAGAGACAACCAACUGUUCAAUGGGCGAAGAACUCUUAAGGGCUUGAAUAAACAUGUUUUCCCCCAACGAAGAUCUACAGUGGCCAACAAGUUCAUGAAAGGAUGUUGAACAUCACUAAUAAGGGAAAGGCAAAUCAAAACCACAAUGAGAUGUCACCUCACACCUGUCAGGAUGGCUGUUACAGAUAUUAAAAAGUCAGUGUGUGGAGAAAGGGGAACUUUCAUGCACUGUUGGUGGGAAUGCAAACUGGUGCAGCCAGUCUGGAGAACAGAAUGGAGGUUUCUCACAAGAUUAAAAGUAGAACUCCCCUAUGACCCAGUUAUUCUACUUGGAAGUAUCUAAAGGGAAUGAAAUCCAGAUCUUAAAGAUCUCUAUAGCCCGUGUUCGUUGCAGUGUUUUUCACGGUAUCCAAGACAUGGAAACAACCUAAGUGUCCAUUGAUGGAUGAAUGGAUAGAGAACAAUGUGUGUACACACGGUGGAAUUCCAGCCAUAAAAAAGGAAGCUAGCCAUCUGUGACAGUGUGAUGGAACUGGAGGACAGUACAACGGCUGAAAUAAGUCACAGAACAAAUGUUACCCGGUGGGACUUCUAUGAGGAACCUGAACAUCCAACUCAGAAGGUGCAAUAUGGUUUUUGCUGAGAACUUGGAGGAGGAAUAGGGUUGGUCAGAGGUUCCAAAAUUUGUUGUUCAAGAUUAAGUCCUAGACAGCUACCAUACAGCAUGGUGAUUAUCAGUAUACUAUAUCGUGUACUGGAAAAUAUGCUAAAACGUAUGUUUUCCAAAGGAUUUUUUUUUAAUGAAACUUAUUGUCCAAUUGGUUUCCAUACAACACCCAGUGCUCAUCCCAACAGGUGCCCUCCUUCAUGCCCAUC